CUGCUGCCUUCCGUAGGAGUCUGGUCCGUGUCUCAGUACCAGUGUGGGGGACCUUCCUCUCAGAACCCCUACGCAUCGUCGUCUUGGUGGUCCGUUACACCGCCAACUAACUAAUGCGACGCAUGCCCAUCCGCCACCGGAAUCAGCCUUUGGCACCAACAGGAUGUCCCGUCGAUGCAUUAUGCCGUAUUAGACGGAAUUUCUCCCGAUUAUCCGGCUGUGGCAGGCAGGUUGCAUACGUGUUACU
rnacentral:rRNA from 1 species